rnacentral:rRNA from 1 species
AUGGCGACCGCAGGGAUUUCCGAGGCAAGCAGUGGCGAGUAUUCGUGCUUAAGAGAGGAGCUCUAUGAGGCUGCAAUCUUCGUGCUUGAGAGUAUACGCCGGAUCCAUGCCGGGGAGAACUCGGCGGAUCACGAUAAUCUGUUGGACUUGAAAUCGGAUAUGCUCCAGUUGUCGGAAAAGAUCACCCAUCUUGCCGAUUCUGAGACUCGGAAGAUGGAAGGGUCUGAAGCAAAGGGCAUAAUCCGGCCAGCGAGAGCCGGCGACGAGAGCAAAUUGGUGCUGAUGCAGAGCAAUAUUGGCGGCGGUGGCAGCUUCAAAUAUGGUGUACUCGCGGGGCACUUCGAUGACCUGUGGGACGACAUGCGCCAGCUAGCCUCAACAGAAUCGAAAUUUCUAGCGAUAUGCAUGUUUUCCUGUGAGUCCUUCGUACGCUGCUGCUCCACAUUGAAGUUCAUCUCUGCAGUUAUCAACAGGCUUGGUAAUUGGGUGCCAGAAUUGUCAGUGGCAAUGAAAUCUAUAAAGGAAGAUGUCCCCAAAGAGGCGGGGGCUGUGGAUGUGGAUGAAGAUGGGGAUGUGGAUGAGGAUGGGGACGUGGACGAGUAUGAGGAGGAGAAGAAGGCCGAGGAGUAUUAUUUCGCUGCCCAUCGUAGAUGCUGGGAAAGUAUAUACAGCAAGGGUCGCAGCUUUGAAGACCCAACAAUAUUCAGCUCCAUGCACUUCACCCACUACAUGCCAGGCCACUCUGGCCAAACUCCAAUGGGUGCUAGAUUCUUGAGGACCAUGCAGAUCUACUCCAUCAAUGUCACAGAAACCGAAGGCUUCGCCCUUGAGUGGCCUCUGGAGGUAUACGGCGUGGUCGCUGCCCGAGACAUGGUGGACUACCGUCGCAACCUUCUCUUCCUUCGCACUAGGGAUGACUGCCAAAUCCUUACGAAAGAGAAUCCCUUUUUGCACUUGACUGGCCCGUCUCGUUCAAUUAUGUCUGGGGACACUGUUACAAUUGAAGCUGAUCUAAAGCUAAAGGGCACAGUAAGGUCCAAAGAUAGAGUACUGAUCAGUAAAGCCUUCCCUUCUCAUGGUGAUAAUUAUGGUGAUCGUCGUGAUACACUUCUCCUUAAGGGCCUUUGCACAAUAGAGUUACAGUGUCAGCAUCUUGAACAAUCAGUCCAAGCCACUAUCCUCAGUGUCAGUGUAGUACAUGGCUCAUUGCCUUGUGAAAAUGGCAUUGUUUGUUAUGCACUUCUUGAGGACAAAACUGAAGCCAUUUUGUUGCUUGAUUCACAAGCUGGAAAAAUGCCCAUUGAUGAAGAGGGUAAUCUAGAGCUGUCAAGGCAAGUUGUUUCUGUAAAAUCAAUGGGAAGGCUUACCAUUUUUAUAAAGGCCUUGUCAGCAUGUGGAGAAAUCAGUGGAAGUGUUGCCUUCAUACCCAAAUCCAGCAACGUGAGUCAAGAAAGCUGUUCCAUUGGUGGAUGUGAAGUGGAGAUAACUGUUGCUUGGUCACUUCUUGUUGAAAGCCAGCAUGUUAUAGAGCUGAAGGGAUCUGCAGACCCUUACGAACAUGAAUUAAAUCCAUGUACUCCUCGGAUGAAACUUGAGGAAGACGCUUUUUGA